rnacentral:lncRNA from 1 species
CUCUACUUCUGCUUCAUUCUCUUUGUGUCACUUUAGUAUGUGUACCUCCUGGGUGCUCUCUGUACAUUUUUUCUCCUCUAUACAAGUCUGUGCCAUGGCUUCUGCUGUCAUUUCUUCUGCUUUGCUCUUCACCAGGAUUUCGCUGUGCCCGUUUCCUUGUCUCCCUUUGCUUGUAACUACCAGGACUUCUGCUCCGGCUUCUCCGGCUCCUUUCCUCCCUGCCGUGGCUUCUGCUGCUCCCCUCCUUUCUUUCAGAGCCUCUCUUCUCUGGGCUAUGUUUAUGGGUUCUGGACUUUUUGUCAGAAUCAGAAUGGCUCCAUUUGCUGUCCUCCCUAGAACUCUCGUGUUUUAAGAACCUGGGCUUUUCCUUGGCUUUUUCCCGGUUAUGGUGACUGCUAGAAAGUUCUUCAUGAAGCUUUCUCUUCUUAGACUUGUCCUUCUCUUCAGAAUCACUGUUGUUAUGCCCUGAACACUUGUUUUUCUUUCUUUUCUUCCUUUGUAUUUUUUUUUCUUUAUUGUUACUCUCACUCUCACUACUGCUUUCUGAAGUCUCAGUAGAGGAAGAGGAGGAGGAGGAGGAAGAUGAGGAAGAAGAGGACUUAUGUUUUUUGUGUUUACUUCUGCUCUUCUGAAACUUUUUCUUUUUUCUAUCUUUUUUCUUUUUUUUCUUCUCCAGUCGAUCUAAUUUCCUGUAAUUGGGAAAUAAACAGUAACAGACUGUGUGAAAAACAGUUAUUUCAUCAACUGUAAGUUAUGAACAAACAAUAUAUUUUCUUAGAAGUUAUUAAAAAUAGUAUCCAUGGCAGAGCGCGCUGGCUCAUACCUGUAAUCCCAGCACUUUGGGAGGCCACGGCGGGCGGAUCACAAGGUCAGGAGUUCGAGACCAGCCUGACCAACAUGGUGAAACCCCAUCUCUAGUAAAAAUACAAAAAUUAGCUGGGCAUGGUGGCACCUGCCUGUAAUCCCAGCUACUCAGGAGGCUGAGGCAGAAGAAUCGCUUGAACCCGGGAGGCGGAGGUUGCAGUGAGUCAAAAUCAUGCCACUGCACUCCAGCUUGGGCAAAAGAGUGAGACUCUGUCUUAAAAAAAAAAAAAAAAAAAAAAAGAACUGGUAUCCAUAUAUGAACGCAUUGUUUACUAAAUGACAACUCAUUUUCUUCCUUUAAAAUUAUUCAAAGCGUGAAUACAUUAAAUUAAAAAAUUAAAUGCAUCAAGCCAAUUUUCUGACUAUACUUCAAUAGUAAUGACUACUUUUUUGUUAAAUUCUUACUGAGUUGAAAUUAUAUAGCACUCUAAAGGGUCAUCCUAAAGAAAGCCUGUGAAAGGUGUGUAACAUCAGUUGGAACUACUAAAAAAGCAAAUAUAUAGCUAUAAUCAGAUGAAAAAUUAAUUUUAUGUACUAUUUUAUAGUAUAUAAAUAUUAAUCAACGUUAUCAAAAUUCAAGAGAAUAUUCUCC